GCCAUCCUUGGGAUACCACCCUUGUAGUACUGGGACUCUAACCAUAGGCCAUGAAUCUGGUCUUGGGACACUGUCAGGUGGGCAGUUUGACUGGGGCGGUCGCCUCCCAAAAGGUAACGGAGGCGCUCAAAGGUUCUCUCAGUACGGUCGGAAAUCGUACGUAGAGUGUAAAGGCAAAAGAGAGCUUGAUUGCAAGACAUACAGGUCGAGCAAGGAUGAAAAUCGGACUUAGUGAUCCGGUGGUUCUGCGUGGAAGGGCCAUCGCUCAACGGAUAAAAGCUACCCUGGGGAUAACAGGCUUAUCUCCCCCAAGAGUCCACAUCGACGGGGAGGUUUGGCACCUCGAUGUCGGCUCAUCACAUCCUGGGGCUGUAGUAGGUCCCAAGGGUUGGGCUGUUCGCCCAUUAACGUGGUACGCGAGCUGGGUUCAGAACGUCGUGAGACAGUUCGGUCCCUAUCCGUCGCAGGCGUAGGAAAUUUGAGAAGACCUGUCCUUAGUACGAGAGGACCUGGAUGGACGUACCUCUGGUGUACCAGUUGUCCUGUCAAGGGCAUGGCUGGGUAGCUAUGUCCGGAAUGGAUAAGCGCUGAAAGCAUCUAAGCGCGAAG
rnacentral:rRNA from 1 species